CUGAAACCUUUCUGGGGCUGGAGCACUUGUCAAGAGUAAACAGAAAAGGAAUAAAGCUUGCCUCUUUUUUUGAAAAACCCAGCUGGACAAUGGGCAUAUUCAAUGGCCAAGGCCUCCUCUAAUUGCUGGCUUGGGAAGAACUGGAGAUAACUCAGCAAUGGAGAGACAAGGAGGGCUCCUAGGGAACAACUUGGAGACCGAGGAAUCUUGCUGAAUGCCAGCAGAAAAUCUGGAAGCAGAGCCAGUAUAAUUCAGCAUUACUGAGCCCACUGAGCUCUCCAGGGAAGUAUAAAUUGAGCACAGAAGCUCUGAAAUGGAUUGUAACCACAACAUCAGAGGUUAUAAGACCCUCAUUCCAGAGUGGUACUGCCCUGCGUCUGGGAAGAAGGAAGGCCACACAGAGAGACCAAGAAGAAUCCUAACAGACAGGGCUUGCUUGGUUUCCCCCUCAGUCUCUUACCGUUAGAUCAGACCUCUUUGGUCCUACCACGUUUCUACAUGGCUGUCCAUUCUUCAUCGAAUCUAAGAAUAAAAAUGGAUAGUUUUCCCUGGGUCUUUGGGUCUUCAUUUCUGAAGGCUUCCUGUAUCAGGUAAGACUUUGAUUAAAGAAAUCUGUUCUGUUUUUCUCUUGUUAACCUGCGUUUUGUUAUAGAAGUAUCAGGCAUCACCCUUAUGAUGGGUGAGGAAAGGUAUCAAACAAACACUCAAGAGGUCUCAGGAUAUCAGUUUGCAUGUAAAAGCAUUUUAUACACUUCAGAGGCCUCCACCCUACAAAUAUUAGAGCUUAUUACGACCUUCAAAUUUAUUUACUGUUUUCCAUUUAGAUAGUGAUGUGGCCUAAACAUUUUC
rnacentral:lncRNA from 1 species